rnacentral:rRNA from 1 species
GAUGAACGCUGGCGGCGUGCUUAACACAUGCAAGUCGAACGAUGAAGCCCAGCUUGCUGGGUGGAUUAGUGGCGAACGGGUGAGUAACACGUGAGUAACCUGCCCUUAACUCUGGGAUAAGCCUGGGAAACUGGGUCUAAUACCGGAUAGGAGCGUCCACCGCAUGGUGGGUGUUGGAAAGAUUUAUCGGUUUUGGAUGGACUCGCGGCCUAUCAGCUUGUUGGUGAGGUAAUUGCUCACCAAGGCGACGACGGGUAGCCGGCCUGAGAGGGUGACCGGCCACACUGGGACUGAGACACGGCCCAGACUCCUACGGGAGGCAGCAGUGGGGAAUAUUGCACAAUGGGCGCAAGCCUGAUGCAGCGACGCCGCGUGAGGGAUGACGGCCUUCGGGUUGUAAACCUCUUUCAGUAGGGAAGAAGCGAAAGUGACGGUACCUGCAGAAGAAGCACCGGCUAACUACGUG